rnacentral:rRNA from 1 species
UACGUAGGGUGCGAGCGUUGUCCGGAAUUACUGGGCGUAAAGAGCUCGUAGGUGGUUUGUCGCGUUGUCCGUGAAAACUCACAACUCAAUUGUGGGCGUGCGGGCGAUACGGGCAGACUGGAGUACUGCAGGGGAGAAUGGAAUUCCUGGUGUAGCGGUGAAAUGCGCAGAUAUCAGGAGGAACACCGGUGGCGAAGGCGGUUCUCUGGGCAUUACCUGACGCUGAGGAGCGAAAGUGUGGGGAGCGAACAGG